rnacentral:rRNA from 1 species
AUUGAACGCUGGCGGCAGGCCUACCCCAUGCAAGUCGAGCGAGCGGCGGACGGGUGAGUAAUGUCUGUGAAACUGCCUGAUGUAGGGGGAUAACUCCUGGAAACGGUAGCUACUACCGCAUACCAUCAGAUGUGCCCAGAUGGGAUUAGCUAGUAGGUGGGGGAACGGCUCACCUAGGCGACGAUCCCUAGCUGGUCUGCGAGGAUGACCAGGCAAACUGGAACUGAGACGCGGUCCAGACUCCUACGGGAGGCAGCAGUGGGGAAUAUUGCACAAUGGGCGAAAGCCUGAUGCAGCCAUGCCGCGUGUGUGAAGAAGGCCUUCGGGUUGUAAAGCACUUUCAGCGGGGAGGCGUUACCCGCAGAAGAAGCACCGGCUAACUCCGUGCCAGCAGCCGCGGUAAUUC